GGGUGCAAUCAUACUGGCGUUAGUGCACCAGAUCACAUCAGUACUCCGCAGUUAAGCGUGCUUUGGCCGGAGAAGUACUGGGAUGAGUGAACUCCCGGGAAGUCCCGGUGUUGCACCCUU
rnacentral:rRNA from 1 species